GAUGAACGCUGGCGGCGUGCCUAAUACAUGCAAGUCGAGCGAACAGAUGAGGAGCUUGCUCCUCUGACGUUAGCGGCGGACGGGUGAGUAAUACGUGGAUAACCUACCUAUAAGACUGGGAUAACUUCGGGAAACCGGAGCUAAUACCGGAUAAUAUAUUGAACCGCAUGGUUCAAUAGUGAAAGACGGUUUUGCUGUCACUUAUAGAUGGAUCCGCGCCGCAUUAGCUAGUUGGUAAGGUAACGGCUUACCAAGGCAACGAUGCGUAGCCGACCUGAGAGGGUGAUCGGCCACACUGGAACUGAGACACGGUCCAGACUCCUACGGGAGGCAGCAGUAGGGAAUCUUCCGCAAUGGGCGAAAGCCUGACGGAGCAACGCCGCGUGAGUGAUGAAGGUCUUCGGAUCGUAAAACUCUGUUACUAGGGAAGAACAAAUGUGUAAGUAACUAUGCACGUCUUGACGGUACCUAAUCAGAAAGCCACGGCUAACUACGUG
rnacentral:rRNA from 1 species